rnacentral:rRNA from 1 species
UACAGAGGUCCCAAGCGUUGUUCGGAUUCACUGGGCGUAAAGGGUGCGUAGGCGGUCGGGGUAAGUCUGAUGUGAAAUCUCACAGCUUAACUGUGAAACUGCAUUGGAUACUAUCCGGCUCGAGGAAUGGAGGGGAGACUGGAAUACUUGGUGUAGCAGUGAAAUGCGUAGAUAUCAAGUGGAACACCAGUGGCGAAGGCGAGUCUCUAGUACGUGACUGACGCUGAGACGCGAAAGCGUGGGGAGCGAACAGG